UACGGAGGGUGCAAGCGUUGUCCGGAUUUAUUGGGUUUAAAGGGUGCGUAGGCGGCUUUUUAAGUCAGUGGUGAAAGACAACAGCUCAACUGUUGCAGUGCCAUUGAUACUGAAGAGCUUGAGUACAGAUGAGGUAGGCGGAAUUUUAUGGUGUAGCGGUGAAAUGCAUAGAUACCAUAAAGAACACCUAUUGCGAAGGCAGCUUACUAAGCUGUAACUGACGCUGAGGCACGAAAGUGUGGGGAUCAAACAGGG
rnacentral:rRNA from 1 species